GUGGGGAAUAUUGGGCAAUGGGCGAAAGCCUGACCCAGCAACGCCGCGUGAAGGAAGAAGGUCUUCGGAUCGUAAACUUCUAUCCUUGGUGAAGAUAAUGACGGUAGCCGAGAAGGAAGCCCCGGCUAACUACGUGCCAGCAGCCGCGGUAAUACGUAGGGGGCAAGCGUUGUCCGGAAUGAUUGGGCGUAAAGGGCGCGUAGGCGGCCUGGUAAGUCUGGAGUGAAAGUCCUGCUUUUAAGGUGGGAAUUGCUUUGGAUACUGUCGGGCUUGAGUGCAGGAGAGGUAAGUGGAAUUCCCGGUGUAGCGGUGAAAUGCGUAGAGAUCGGGAGGAACACCAGUGGCGAAGGCGACUUACUGGACUGUAACUGACGUUGAGGCUCGAAAGCGUGGGGAGCAAACAGGAUUAGAUACCCGGGUAGUCC
rnacentral:rRNA from 1 species